rnacentral:tRNA from 1 species
GGAGAAGUGGCGAAAUUGGCUAGACGCGUGACGAGUACUAGAACUUUACUCAGCCGGAAGAGUUACUCCAAUCAAGAAGUUCAUGCAGGUUCGAAUCCUGUCUUCUCCA